rnacentral:rRNA from 2 species
GCAUAUCAAUAAGCGGAGGAAAAGAAACUAACAAGGAUUCCCCUAGUAACGGCGAGUGAAGAGGGAAGAGCCCAAGAUUGAAAGCUGGCGUCUUCGGCGUCCGCAUUGUAAUCUCAAGAAGUGUUUUCCGCUUCGGACCAUGCCUAAGUCCCUUGGAAAAGGGCAUCAUAGAGGGUGAUAAUCCCGUUCAUGGCAUGGAGCGCCCGAAGCUUUGUGAUACGCUUUCUAAGAGUCGAGUUGUUUGGGAAUGCAGCUCAAAAUGGGUGGUAAAUGCCAUCUAAGGCUAAAUAUUGGGGAGAGACCGAUAGCGAACAAGUACAGUGAUGGAAAGAUGAAAAGAACUUUGAAAAGAGAGUUAAACAGUACGUGAAAUUGCCAAAAGGGAAGGGUAGGAGGUCAGAGAUGCGUCUUGGAAUUCAGCCUUGCUUCUGCUUGGUGUUUUUUCCAUUUUGCAGGCCAACGUCGGUUUUGGGCACUGGAGAAGGGUGGAAGGAACGUGGCACCUCUCGGGGUGUGUUAUAGCCUUCUACUGGAUACAGCGACCGAGACCGAGGACAGCAGCGUACUCGCAAGAGCGGGCCUUCGGGCACCUUUACGCUUAGGGCGUUGGCAUAAUGGCCCUCUACCACCCGUCUUGAAACACGGACCAAGGAGUCUAACAUGUAUGCGAGUCUUUGGGUGGCAAACCCAUAGGCGCAAUGAAAGUGAAUUCAGGUGGGAUCCGCAAGGUGCACCMAKCGACCGAUCCUCACGUCUUUUAAGUCGUGGAUUUGAGUAAGAGCAUACCUGUUGGGACCCGAAAGAUGGUGAACUAUGCCUGAAUAGGGUGAAGCCAGAGGAAACUCUGGUGGAGGCYYVUAGCGGUUCUGACGUGCAAAUCGAUCGUCAAAUUUGGGUAUAGGGGCGAAAGACUAAUCGAACCAUCUAGUAGCUGGUUCCUGCCGA